GUGUCACUUCUCUUUAACCAUUAACUCACUGUUCUUUUCGUGAACUUGCCAUCAUUUAUUUACUCAUGUGUGACUUCAAAUCGGCGGAGACUUGUCGUUUUAAGGAAGUUUAGUAUCUAUUUGUUUGUAGCUCUUUAAUUGUCACGAGUACUCACUGGACCAUCUGCCAAAGACCACAUCUUUCCUAAACUUAAUUGAAUCAAGCAAAUUGGCUUUCGAUUUUUCAUUUUAUAAAACAGGGAAGGAAAAUCAAUGUUUUAAUGAGUCAGGUAAACAAAGAGAUUGGAUUAUUAUUUUUUGUUUAUUCAUAUCCAUUCUCUCCAAGGAUGCUUUUGGCUCUAAGUGUGAGAUCAAAGCCCAGCUUCAGUACUGGCGUGCCAAAUCAGUAAGGUGGCUGUAGACACAGAAGUAGUAACUUAACAUCACUAUCCUAAAUAAAUCAGCCCACUGAAGCUUAAUAACGGCGUAGGAAGGAGCUUUUCUAAAGGACGGAGUCCAGUCAUUUCCUGUGAUGUAGCAAGGUAACCUGAAUUGUUUUCAUGGUUAUAUUUGGUGUUUCUCAUCCAGGCAACUUGGAUUCCCUGCAAUCUUAUCUUCUAAACAUACGAUUAUGCAUUACUAAAACACAUAAAGAAGGAACUUCCUUUUCAUAAUAAAUCAUACUCUAUAGACAAAUGAGGCAAUAUACAUUCUACUUCUCAAAGGGAGACAGUGUUUACUAAUUGAAGAUUUAACGCACAGCAAAACAUACCUUCUCGUCCUUUUCCUGAUGUGUUUUUGCCAGUACAUAAUACAUAAUAGCCAGAAAUAUCUUUGAGAAUCUGAAUGUGAGUGAACAGCUACAAUACACAUGGCACCCCUGACAAAUUAUAAUCUUAUCCACUAUUCUCCUCUGUCACCCACCAAAGC
rnacentral:lncRNA from 1 species